rnacentral:rRNA from 1 species
UCUACGGGAGGCAGCAGUGAGGAAUAUUGGUCAAUGGACGAGAGUCUGAACCAGCCAAGUAGCGUGAAGGAUGACUGCCCUAUGGGUUGUAAACUUCUUUUAUAAAGGAAUAAAACGAGGCACGUGUGCCUUUUUGCAUGUACUUUAUGAAUAAGGAUCGGCUACAUCCGUGCCAGCAGCCGCGGUAAUACGGGGGAUGCAAGCGUUAUCCGGAGUUAUUGGGUUUAAAGGGUGCGUAGGCUGUGAGGUAAGUCAGCGGUGAAAUGCCCCCGCUCAACGGGGUGAAGUGCCAUUGAUACUGGCGUGCUGGAAUGCGGAUGCGGUGGGAGGAAUGUGUGGUGUAGCGGUGAAAUGCAUAGAUAUCACACAGAACACCGAUUGCGAAGGCAGCUCACGAAUCCGCGAUUGACGCUGAUGCACGAAAGCGUGGGUAUCAAACAGGAGUAGAUACCCCAGUAGUC